AGCGAACGCUGGCGGCAGGCUUAACACAUGCAAGUCGAGCGGGCGUAGCAAUACGUCAGCGGCAGACGGGUGAGUAACGCGUGGGAACAUACCUUUUGGUUCGGAACAACACAGGGAAACUUGUGCUAAUACCGGAUAAGCCCUUACGGGGAAAGAUUUAUCGCCGAAAGAUUGGCCCGCGUCUGAUUAGCUAGUUGGUAGGGUAAUGGCCUACCAAGGCGACGAUCAGUAGCUGGUCUGAGAGGAUGAUCAGCCACAUUGGGACUGAGACACGGCCCAAACUCCUACGGGAGGCAGCAGUGGGGAAUAUUGGACAAUGGGGGCAACCCUGAUCCAGCCAUGCCGCGUGAGUGAUGAAGGCCCUAGGGUUGUAAAGCUCUUUUGUGCGGGAAGAUAAUGACG
rnacentral:rRNA from 1 species